GACAGAGGGUGCAAACGUUGUUCGGAAUUACUGAGCGUAAAGCGAGUGUAGGCAGUCCGAUAAGUCGGGUGUGAAAGCCCUGGGCUCAACCCAGGAAGUGCACUCGAAACUGCCGAGCUAGAGUAUCGGAGAGGUUGGUGAAAUUCUCGGUGUAGAAAUGAAAUUCGUAGAUAUCGAAAAGAACACCAAUGGCGAAGGCAACCAACUGAACGAAUACUGACGCUGAGACUCGAAAGCGUGAAGAGCAAACAGG
rnacentral:rRNA from 1 species